rnacentral:lncRNA from 1 species
CUUACUUUCCUGAGUAGGAAAGAGAUCAGGUCAAGUAGCAUACAGUAUCCUUCUUAUUCCCCUGCAGAUGUCUGAGGCUUCUUUCCCCUUUGGUCCAAUCUGAUUUGUAUGUCUUCUGGGUUAAUACCCCCAGAGUGCUCUAGGCUGCUUUCUGCCUC